UUUUCUGUUCUCAACAGGGCAUAUCGUGCAACUUAUUAAAUCACGAGGAAACAUCAAGUUGCGAGUUCAAUUCCAACAACGUCCAAUGUCCUACACAACUUUGUGCACGCAAGGAAACAUCCAAAAGACACAAAUUGUUCGAAUCGUUGUAUCAUAUCGAUCGAUAUCCGCGAAGCCAACUCAUUUUCCACGACUGACUUGACUUUUUUUUUACUUUUUUAUUUCGUUUUAAUAGACGUUCGAUUACGUAGACGACAUCGCAUAGCCCUGAUUAAUAGCAAUACGCAAUGGAAAGUGAUAGUUCGUAGAAUAAACGGACGAAUGAAACGCGAAACAGCCACUUUUGAUCAGUUCGUUCGACCGAGAUUUAACGUUGCAAAUAGAAAACUCCCACGACAUUGCGAAAUUGUCAAACGUUUUUAUAUCUAAUUAUCCUCUGCAUCGGAGAUCGUUGAUAAAAUGCUUGUCAUGUCGAAUGAAACGUCCUCUUACUGGAUAUCGCGUCUUUGUUCCUUCGCUACCGGUAAAACGAGUUCCUUCUAAAAACUGUUUACCGUAAUCGCGCCAGUCCCGCUAAUAAAACCAUUCGCACAACUUAUCCGUAGAUCACACCACAGCGAUCAUCCCCGUAACGACCUAUGAAUUAAACUAAAGCUUUUCGUCGGAAGCGCUGGUCUCACUUUCGCGAACAGCACGGUGACCAGUCACGCGUCUCGCGCGUAAACAAUUUCGAUUGAAGUUAGGUGUCGUACACAUAGAAAAUUCCCGCGAGAAAACUUCACCUCUUAAAUCCAGAGUUUUCCAUUCGAGUAACGACUAACGACAAUUCGCUAAAAUCUUUUUGCCAACGAUCCGAACGACCACGUGCGUCGAUCGCCGCGUGCAGACGACGAUCACAGCUGGCACGAUCACGCUUCGUUUUCCCGACGCGAACAGAUCGCGAGUUUCGAAUUUGGCCAACCACGGCGCUAGUAUCACCCGGCCACGUAUCCACGAAGGAAAGAAAUCGCGGCCAGUUAUUUACCUGUUCCUCUUUCGAGAAGGUGAAAGAGGAAGGGACCUAAGGUCCCCACCAUUUUCUACUUGUUAGUCCCUCCGUCUUUCCUUGCAACUGAUGUUGUCUCGUCUGGCGAAAUAAAAUCUUUCUCGUUCAUCAAUUUCCAUUUCUACUUCGAAUUG
rnacentral:misc_RNA from 1 species